rnacentral:rRNA from 1 species
AGCAGCCGCGGUAAUUCCAGCUCCAAUAGCGUAUAUUAAAGUUGUUGCAGUUAAAAAGCUCGUAGUUGAAUUUCGGGGUUAGUAGAUUGGUCAUGCCUCUGGUAUGCACUGGUCUUACUGAUUCCUCCUUCCUGAUGAACCGUAAUGCCAUUAAUUUGGUGUUGCGGGAAAACUGGACUGUUACUUUGAAAAAUUAGAGUGUUUAAAGCAGGCUAACGCUUGAAUACAUUAGCAUGGAAUAAUGAAAUAGGACGUUCGAUCUUAUUUUGUUGGUUUCUAGGAUUGACGUAAUGAUUAAUAGGGAUAGUUGGGGGCAUUAGUAUUCAAUUGUCAGAGGUGAAAUUCUUGGAUUUAUUGAAGACUAACUACUGCGAAAGCAUUUGCCAAGGAUGUUUUCAUUAAUACAAGAACGAAAGUUAGGGGAUCGAAGACGAUCAGAUACCGUCGUAGUCUUUAACCAUAAACUA